CCUACGGGUGGCAGCAGUCGGGAAUCUUCCGCAAUGGGCGAAAGCCUGACGGAGCGACGCCGCGUGAGCGAUGAAGGCCUUCGGGUUGUAAAGCUCUGUGGGGAGAGAAGAAUAAGUUCAAGCCAAUACCUUGAAUGAUGACGGUAUCUCCUUAGCAAGCACCGGCUAACUCUGUGCCAGCAGCCGCGGUAAGACAGAGGGUGCAAACGUUGUUCGGAUUUACUGGGCGUAAAGCGCGUGUAGGCGGCUUGGCAAGUCGGAUGUGAAAGCCCACGGCUCAACCGUGGAAGCGCAUCCGAAACGGCCUCGCUCGAGUCUCGGAGAGGAAGGUGGAAUGCUUGGUGUAGAGGUGAAAUUCGUAGAUAUCAAGCAGAACACCUGCGGCGAAGGCGGCCUUCUGGACGAUGACUGACGCUGAGACGCGAAAGCGUGGGGAGCAA
rnacentral:rRNA from 1 species